rnacentral:rRNA from 1 species
UAUUGGGCGUAAGAGCUCGUAGGCGGUUUGUCGCGUCUGCCGUGAAAGUCCGGGGCUCAACUCCGGAUCUGCGGUGGGUACGGGCAGACUAGAGUGAUGUAGGGGAGACUGGAAUUCCUGGUGUAGCGGUGAAAUGCGCAGAUAUCAGGAGGAACACCGAUGGCGAAGGCAGGUCUCUGGGCAUUAACUGACGCUGAGGAGCGAAAGCAUGGGGAGCGAACAGGAUUAGAUACCCUGGUAGUCCAUGCCGUAAACGUUGGGCACUAGGUGUGGGGGACAUUCCACGUUUUCCGCGCCGUAGCUAACGCAUUAAGUGCCCCGCCUGGGGAGUACGGCCGCAAGGCUAAAACUCAAAGGAAUUGACGGGGGCCCGCACAAGCGGCGGAGCAUGCGGAUUAAUUCGAUGCAACGCGAAGAACCUUACCAAGGCUUGACAUGAACCGGAAAUACCUGGAGACAGGUGCCCCGCUUGCGGUCGGUUUACAGGUGGUGCAUGGUUGUCGUCAGCUCGUGUCGUGAGAUGUUGGGUUAAGUCCCGCAACGAGCGCAACCCUCGUUCUAUGUUGCCAGCACGUGAUGGUGGGGACUCAUAGGAGACUGCCGGGGUCAACUCGGAGGAAGGUGGGGACGACGUCAAAUCAUCAUGCCCCUUAUGUCUUGGGCUUCACGCAUGCUACAAUGGCCGGUACAAAGGGUUGCGAUACUGUGAGGUGGAGCUAAUCCCAAAAAGCCGGUCUCAGUUCGGAUUGGGGUCUGCAACUCGACCCCAUGAAGUCGGAGUCGCUAGUAAUCGCAGAUCAGCAACGCUGCGGUGAAUACGUUCCCGGGCCUUGUACACACCGCCCGUCAAGUCACGAAAGUUGGUAACACCCGAAGCCGGUGGCUAACCCCUUGUGGGAAGGGAGCUGUCGAAGGUGGGACUGGCGAUUGGGACGA